AGAGCAUUCUGGUGCGACUUCAGGAGGAUAAAUUGUUUUUUACACGUCGUUCCUGGUUUCUGUCACAGGAUGUUAGAUGGUGUUAGUACGGGUUUGGGCUUCCAAGAAGCUGUUUUUCUUCAGUGUUGUGAGGAUCUGGGCUCAGCUGUGGACGGAACCCAAACAAUGCAAACGGCAUCCAAAAGCAGGCGGUUCUCUGCGGAGAGUGAGACAGAUGGCAGUGUGGACGGAUCCUGAAGGGCCGACCAGUUGUCUGGUGGCCAUAUGGACUCAGUCCUCUUUCACUUCUGCUGCUCAUCUCUAACAACAAACAGCAGCCUGUUGUCAUUAGCUGCUACCCAACCCAACUAAACCCAAAGCAAAUGUUGCAAAUGUGAACAUUUUCAUUCCCGCUCUGGAUAAUGACAGGGAUUCAUUCAGGGCUGCAGCGCACAUGUGAAACAAAUGCGAUAUGGUUAACUGCAGAUAAAGGACUAAGGACUUCUCUUUCUCUACUGUGUGGACACAGUAGAGAAAGAGAAGUCAGGGCUAUUGAGGAGUGAGGAGUGUCAGGACUAUUACAAUAAUACGCAAUAAUGUGACUCAACUUCUUCAUGCUGUAAUACUUAAGUUGAAUAUGAUAUAAAAAAAAAAGCUAUGAUAUUUCUGCAGGAGUUUUUGUUUUACUUAACCCAGGGGGGCCCAAAGCGCAGCCCAACGGCCACAACUGGCUCAUUUUCUGCUAUAUUUAGUUAAUUACUUGUUUCAUUUUACUUGAGGUAAAAUUUAACAUUAAUGACUGUUAAUAUAGCAUUUGACACUAAUGACAUUUAAUGACAUUUUCAUAACUGUUGCUAAUUGUUUCAAUUUACUUGAGGUAAGAGAUAAUAUUAAUGACACUGUAAUAACACUUAAUGAAAUCUUCAUAACUGGUGCUAUUUGUUCCACUUGAUGUAAGAAGAAUUAUUAAUGACUCUGUUAUUAAA